rnacentral:pre_miRNA from 1 species
GGCACAAUUGCUGAGUCAUAUGAGAAGAGUAUUUUUUAUUUUGUGAGAAACUACCAAAUAAUCUUCCAAAGUACCUGUUUCAUUUUUGCAUUUCUACCAGCAAU